rnacentral:rRNA from 1 species
UGGGGAAUAUUGCACAAUGGAGGGAACUCUGAUGCAGCGACGCCGCGUGAACGAAGAAGGCUUUCGAGUCGUAAAGUUCUUUUAUCUGGGAAGAUAAUGACGGUACCAUAAGAAAAAGCCCCGGCUAACUACGUUCCAGCAGCCGCGGUAAUACGUAGGGGGCUAGCGUUGUCCGGAAUCACUGGGCGUAAAGGGUUCGCAGGCGGAAAUGCAAGUCAGGUGUAAAAGGCAGUAGCUUAACUACUGUAAGCAUUUGAAACUGCAUAUCUUGAGAAGAGUAGAGGUAAGUGGAAUUUUUAGUGUAGCGGUGAAAUGCGUAGAUAUUAAAAAGAAUACCGGUGGCGAAGGCGACUUACAGGGAACAUACUGACGCUGAGGAACGAAAGCGUGGGUAGCAAACAGG